CCAGCGGGCGGGACUGGAGAGCGCCGCACGCCCGCAGCCGCCGGCCCCGCCGGAGGCACCGCACCCUGCUCCGCGCGACCGAUCGCCGGCGCCAUGGACCGAGGCCGCGUGCUGGAGCAGCUGCUCCCCGAGCUCACAGGGCUGCUCAGCCUCCUGGACCAUGAGUACCUCAGCGACACCACCCUGGAGAAGAAGAUGGCUGUGGCCUCCAUCCUGCAGAGCCUGCAGCCCCUCCCAGCCAAAGAAGUCUCCUACCUGUAUGUGAACACAGCGGACCUCCAUUCCGGGCCCAGCUUUGUGGAGUCCCUCUUUGAAGAAUUUGACUGUGACCUGAGCGACCUUCGAGACAUGACAGAGGACGACGGGGAGUCCUGCAAAGAAGCCACCCCUGAGCCAGCCAAGAGCCCAUCUCUGAGACACGCAGCCGACUUGCCUCCACCGCUCCCCAAAAGGCCUCCACCUGAGGACUACUAUGAGGAGGCCCUUCCCCUGGGGCCUGGCAAGUCCCCCGAGUAUAUCAGCUCCCACAACGACUGCAGCCCAGCCCACUCGAUUGUGGACAGCUACUACGAGGAUGCAGACAGCAGCUACCCCGCGACCAGGAUGAAUGGGGAGCUGAAGAACUCUUACAAUGACUCUGACGCCAUGAGCAGCUCCUACGAGUCCUAUGAUGAGGAGGAGGAGGAAGGGAAAGGGCCGCAGCCCACACACCAGUGGCCUUCAGACGAGGCCUCCAUGCACCUGGUGAGGGACUGCAGGAUAUGUGCCUUCCUGCUGCGGAAAAAGCGCUUCGGGCAGUGGGCCAAGCAGCUGACCGUCAUCAAGGAGGACCAGCUCCUGUGUUACAAAAGCUCCAAGGACCGGCAGCCACAUCUGAGGCUAGCGCUGGAUGUCUGCAACGUCAUCUACGUGCCCAAGGACAGCCGGCACAAGAGGCACGAGCUGCGCUUCUCCCAGGGGGCCACCGAAGUCCUGGUGCUGGCACUGCAGAGCCGGGAGCAGGCCGAGGAGUGGCUGAAGGUCAUCCGAGAGGUCAGCAAGUCCGUUGGGGGUGCUGAGGGGGCAGAUGUGCCCAGAUCCCCAGUCCUCCUGUGCAAGGUGGACCUGGACAAGGGGGCUGUCUGUGUCCCUCCCCAGAGGCUGUCCCAAGAGAAGCAGACCUCGGAUUCCGACAGCAUGGGCCUGGGCGACAACUGUUCCACCCUUGGCCGCGAACACGGUAGGAGCCUCUGGGGGCUCAGGCUGGAAAAUGCUAGAGCUGGAAGAGGCCUUGCCACAAGCACACAGUGCAGAGCAGGUCCUGACCACUCUGGAGACCUAGGUGAUGUGACCUGGCCUAUCCAUACCUGGAGCUGUAGGCCAAGCCCUGUGUGCAGGCUGAAAGGCAAAGGGAAGAAGAGCAGCCUGUCAGAGCUGAAGGGUUCAAUGAGCAGGGCUGCGGGCCGCAAGAUCACCCGUAUCAUCAGCUUCUCUAAGAAGAAGGCACUGGCCGAUGACCUGCAGACAUCCUCUACCGAGGAGGAGGUUCCAUGCUGUGGUUAUCUGAAUGUGCUGGUGAACCAUGGCUGGAAGGAACGCUGGUGCCGCCUAAAGUGCAACACCUUGUAUUUCCAUAAGGACCGCACGGACCUGCGGACCCACGUGAAUGCUAUCGCCCUCCACGGUUGUGAGGUGGCCCCAAGCUUUGGGCCCAGACACCCAUUUGCCUUCAGGAUCCUGCGCAACCGGCAGGAGGUCGCCAUCUUGGAGGCAAGCUGCUCCGAGGACAUGGGCCGCUGGCUCGGGCUGCUGCUGGUGGAGAUGGGCUCCAAAGUCACUCCCGAAGCACUGCAUUAUGACUACGUGGACGUGGAGACCUUAACCAGCAUCGUCAGUGCAGGGCGCAACUCCUUCCUAUAUGCAAGAUCCUGCCAGGAUCAGUGGCCUGAGCCCCGAGUCUAUGAUGAUGUUCCUUAUGAAAAGAUGCAGGACGAGGAGCCUGAGCGUCCCUCUGGAGCCCAGAUCAAGCGCCAUGCCUCCACCUGCAGUGAGAAGUCCCAUCGGGCAGACCCACAGGUCAAAGUCAAGCGCCAUGCCUCCAGUGCCCAUCAAUAUAAGUACGGUAAGAACCGAGCUGAGGAGGAUGCCAGGAGGUACCUGGUAGAAAAAGAAAAGCUGGAGAAAGAGAAAGAGACAAUCCGGACAGAGCUGAUGGCACUGCGGCAGGAAAAGAGGGAACUAAAGGAAGCCAUUCGGAACAGCCCAGGGGCAAAGUUAAAAGCUCUGGAAGAGGCCUUGGCCACCCUGGAAGCUCAGUGUAGGGCGAAGGAAGAGGGCCGUAUCGACCUGGAGCUGCGGCUGGUGGCUGUGAAGGAGCGCUUGCAGCAGUCCCUGGCAGGGGGCCCAGCCCUGGGGCUCUCCGUGAACAGCAAGAACAAGAGCGGGGAAACAGCAAAUAAACCCCAGAACAAUGCCCCAGAGCAACCUCUCCCUGUCAAUUGUGUUUCUGAGCUGCGGAAGAGGAGCCCAUCCAUCGUAACCUCUAACCAAGGAAGAGUGCUACAAAAAGCCAAGGGCUGACUGGAAAUGCCAUGGAUUUUUUAUGGGUAAAAAGCCAUUCACUGCUGGCCCUGACUUCAGUAUUCAUCUCAGGAAUGGGAAAUGAAGAAGACCUAGAAAGAGGAUGAGGAUUUCAUCCAAAGGAGAUAACACCUUGUCCAUCCAAGGCAGAAAUGCUUUUUUCACAAGGAGACACCAGAAGACUGGAAGUAGCCCACACUCUCUGGGGCACCCAAAAGACCAGCCUUUAUUGUCUGCAUGAUUAUAGGGGACAUGGGGAGGGAAGAAGUAGGAGAGAAGAGGGAAAUGGAGGGCAUCCUUAUAACUUUACAGAGGGUGGAAAUGGGGGUGGAGGGAGACAGAAAUCUGCACAGUCGUAAAGGUUUUGUUAAAUGUCUUUGCCUUCCCUUCUAAAGAAGAAAUGAAAGCACAUGUGAAUAAGCCAUUCCACCCCAUUCUCAGCAUCCCAUUCCCAGUCCUUAGGAAAAAGGAAGGCAGUGCUGAGGCAUCGGUGGUACAGUAUAAAGAGACAGGACCUGAUCAUCUGAUCCUGCUUGUGCCGAAUGGAUUCAUACUGGGCAUUACUGACAACCGCUGGGCAAGAUAAAUAGGCUGAAAAAUCAAUACAGUUAUCCCUAACUUGCAUGAAGUGAACAAAAACUACAGAGAUCAUGCAAAUUCUACAAUCAUUCCUCAUGAUUAUAGAAUCCUCAUGAUGCAGAAUCCAGAAUCCCUGAUUUGAGUGUUUACAAAUCAGAGAUCUGGCAAAGAGGGGUUCAGCAGGCAAAGAGAGGUUCAGCAGCUGACAUACUUUAAGCUCACAGUGCUACUCAGUGACAGAAGCAUGGAUUUCUAAUGUCCACAGGAUGUUGCAGGCAUUGUAGGAUGGGGUCAUUUGCUGUCAAUCAAGUCCCCUACCUAAUUUAUAUGGCACUCAGGUUCUGGGAGCUAUGGCUAGAAAUCCAGGUGACACUCCUUGUCUUUAACCUUACCUUGCACUUGGAGGCCCACCAGUCUGCCCUUUCAUACCUGCUAUCAAGUAAAACUAUCAAGGAGAACCAAGAGGAUGGUGGCUCAUUUCUGCCACAGGGGUGCUAAAUUUUUACAUACACUUGAUACUUUUAUAGGGGAGCAAGGACCUCAAGUCCCAGGCAGUCUCCUAACUGCGCCACUCACUACUUUCUCAACACUGUAGGCACUUUAUAGGUCUUUACCACCUUUCCCUCCAAUAAGGAUAAAACCAUUUAACUGUAUAAGCUCAGAGGUUAGCUCAAGGGGAAAGAAGAGAAAUCCCAGAAUAACCUCUGGACACUUUGCUAGAGGCUGCACACACUUUUCUUACCUAAGACUUUACAUACUUGAGCCUCACCCAAAUUUUAUCACCCUCUGAGGUAGCUAGAGACCAAAGCAAGUAAAAUAACCUAACCAAAAGCACCUGGCUGCCAGUGGCAGAACAUAAGACUUAGGGCUAAUGAGCCUGGAUCCAGACAAGGCUGCUUGAGCCCUGCCUCUGCCACUUACCAGCUGUGACUCUGACCUCUCUGAUUGUUUUCCUUACCUGUGAAAACCAUGUUAACAAUUGUACUCUUCUCCCGAGACUACUGGGGGAAAACCCAGUUAACAACUAUACUUUCCUCCCAAGACUACUGGGGGAAUUCAAUGAGUUAAUACACAGGAAACAUCUUGUACAGCGUCCAAGGAAUAGGAAAUGUUCAGCCAUAGUGGUUCUUCUUAUUAGCUAGAUAAGAAACGUCUGACUCAAAAUCCUGUGUCCUUUCCACGGAAGAAGAAAUGACUUUCAUGUGGUUAUUACAACCACCAAAAGCUAAAAGGCAACCAAUCUAUAACUGACAGCUUUCAUCCAGAU